rnacentral:rRNA from 1 species
CCUACGGGUGGCAGCAGUGGGGAAUAUUGGUCAAUGGACGAGAGUCUGAACCAGCCAAGUAGCGUGAAGGAUGACUGCCCUAUGGGUUGUAAACUUCUUUUAUAUGGGAAUAAAAUGUUCCACGUGUGGGAUUUUGUAUGUACCAUAUGAAUAAGGAUCGGCUAACUCCGUGCCAGCAGCCGCGGUAAUACGGAGGAUCCGAGCGUUAUCCGGAUUUAUUGGGUUUAAAGGGAGCGUAGGUGGAUUGUUAAGUCAGUUGUGAAAGUUUGCGGCUCAACCGUAAAAUUGCAGUUGAAACUGGCAGUCUUGAGUACAGUAGAGGUGGGCGGAAUUCGUGGUGUAGCGGUGAAAUGCUUAGAUAUCACGAAGAACUCCGAUUGCGAAGGCAGUUCACUGGACUGCAACUGACACUGAGGCUCGAAAGUGUGGGUAUCAAACAGGAUUAGAUAUCCCAGUAGUC